rnacentral:rRNA from 1 species
UACGUAGGAUGCAAGCGUUGUCCGGGUUUAUUGGGAUUAAAGGGUGCGUAGGCGGCAUAUUAAGUUAGUGGUGAAAACGUUCGGCUUAACCGGAUACCCGCCAUUGAUACUGAUAGACUUGAGUGCGACAGAGGGUGUUGGAAUGUGUGGUGUAGCGGUGAAAUGCUUAGAUAUCACGCAGAACACCAAUUGCGAAGGCAGAUGCCUAUGUCGUAACUGACGCUGAGGCACGAAAGCGUGGGGAGCAAACAGG